AGUCACUGACAUUAGAUACCCCCGGUAGUCCAGGGUGUAAACGCUGCAGACUUGGUGUUGGAGGCCCUUUGGGGGCAUUCAGUGCCGGAGAGAAGUUGUUAAGUCUGCUACUUGGGGAGUACGUCCGCAAGGAUGAAACUUAAAGGAAUUGGCGGGGGAGCACCGCAACGGGAGGAGCGUGCGGUCUAAUUGGAUUCAACACCGUAAAACUCACCAGGGAAGACUGUUACAUGAAGGCCGAGAUGAAGACUCUGCUAGAUUUUCAG
rnacentral:rRNA from 1 species